CCCCUAGAUGUUCUGGGCCGCACGCGCGCUACACUGAACAGUUCAACAAGUCUUAACCUUGGCCGAUAGGUCUGGGUAAUCUUUGAACGCUGUUCGUGAUUGGGAUAGACCUUUGCAAUUAUGGGUCUUCAACGAGGAAUUCCUAGUAAACGCAAGUCACCAGCUUGCAUUGAUUACGUCCCUGCCCUUUGUACACACCGCCCGUCGCACCUACCGAUUGAAUGGUCCGGUGAAAUCUCGGGACGGCGGCUUGGUCGCUUGCGUCCGACUGCUGAAACUUGAUUAAACCAUAUCAUUUAGAGGAAGGUGAAGUCGUAACA
rnacentral:rRNA from 1 species